UCGGGUUGUAAAGUACUUUCAGCGGGGAGGAAGGGAGUAAAGUUAAUACCUUUGCUCAUUGACGUUACCCGCAGAAGAAGCACCGGCUAACUCCGUGCCAGCAGCCGCGGUAAUACGGAGGGUGCAAGCGUUAAUCGGAAUUACUGGGCGUAAAGCGCACGCAGGCGGUUUGUUAAGUCAGAUGUGAAAUCCCCGGGCUCAACCUGGGAACUGCAUCUGAUACUGGCAAGCUUGAGUCUCGUAGAGGGGGGUAGAAUUCCAGGUGUAGCGGUGAAAUGCGUAGAGAUCUGGAGGAAUACCGGUGGCGAAGGCGGCCCCCUGGACGAAGACUGACGCUCAGGUGCGAAAGCGUGGGGAGCAAACAGGAUU
rnacentral:rRNA from 1 species